GAUGAACGCUGGCGGCGUGCCUAAUACAUGCAAGUCGAGCGAACAGACGAGGAGCUUGCUCCUCUGACGUUAGCGGCGCGCGGGUGAGUAACACGUGUAUAACCUCCCUAUCAGACUGGGAUAACUUCGAGAAACCGGCGCUAAUACGGGAUAAUAUACUGAACCACGUUGUUCAAUAGUGAAAGACGGCUUUGCCGUCAGUUGUCGAUGGAUACGCGCCUGAUCAGCUAGUUGGUAGGGUAGUGGCUUACCAAGGCGUUGACGGGUAGCCGGCCUGAGAGGGUGACCGGCCACAUGGGGACUGAGAGACGGCCCAGACUCCUACGGGAGGCAGCAGUGGGGAAUAUUGCACAAUGGGCGGAAGCCUGAUGCAGCAACGCCGCGUGCGGGAUGACGGCCUUCGGGUUGUAAACCGCUUUCGCCUGUGACGAAGCGUGAGUGACGGUAAUGGGUAAAGAAGCACCGGCUAACUACGUG
rnacentral:rRNA from 1 species